AUACUGGAAGCAGAGGAAAGGGGUUCAGCGGCAGUGAAACACUAAAACGCUGGGAGGAGGUUUUCUUGUUUAAACGUUAAAGUGAUGCAGACAUAUUGAUCGGAUGCAGAAAAGGCGGAUGGCUGCUAGUCUGAGUUUGUUGCUGCACCCGUUUCCUUAAACCUAACCCUGCCAGUUCCUCCACCCGAGAGUUAAAAUGUCCAUCACACUAAAGAAACAAGAUUUUUUUGGACCCUGUAAACAUUAUUUCAAUUAUUUAUAUAAAUCCUACAAACAAUACAAAUUGGGUGCUUUAACUUGGUGAUUUUUUGUACUUAUGUAUCCUCAGUUUGUAAAUUCAAUCCCAUGAAUAUUUACUUAAGCACUUCAUUGAAUUAAUUAGCUCAUAUUUCCACGUAAAUGUGAAUGAGUGACAUCAGUGAUUUGUCUAAGCCCCGCCCCUUUACCCAAAAUCCUGUUUCAUGUGAAUGAAAUUAAUGCAAAAAUGAUUCCAUUGAUUUAAUUCUUUUCUAUGAGAAAAACAAUGUUUUUUUUUUAAUUAAAAAAAAUCUAAUAAUUUGUGUUUUAAUAACAAAACAAAAAAACUCAUCCAAUUAAAACUAAACGAGUCUUUAUAAAUCUUCAUUAAAGUGUCUCUAAUGUGUUUGUAGGGGGUCAGAAUCAUUCCAAAUCAGCAGCGGUCGGCCUGACUCACGUGGUCUGAGGGGAAGGCCUUGGCCUCCAGCAGGACCUUGUGUCUGCUUUGGGAGGAAGGGGGCGUGUCUUACCAUCAGAAGGUGCAGGUUGACGGUCAGACCGUUCAUCAGAGCCACUUCAGACGUUUUAGCACCUGGAAAAAGAAGAAAACGUCACCUUUGACCUUUCAACUCCUCCUCCAGGUAUUUCCUGGUCAUCUUUGGCUGAAGGCCCAGAGAGUUUCCACAGAGGUAGAUGCAUUCCUCGCCGCCGUCCACGAGCGACAGGCAGGAAGAUCUGCAACUUUAGGCAUCAGGAAAUGCUGUCGGAGAUGCCGCAGGUCAUCGUUUUCGUCAAAGUAAGCAGCCACCUGCGGCGAGGAGGGGCUGCAGCCCAGAGAGGAGGACACUCGCCGCACAACUUCUCUGGGAUGUAAACCCGAAAACUCCUCCAUUUGAGCUGAAACAGCAGUUUGAGGACCUCGAUUCAUCUCAAACAAACAUUCAACUGUAAACGUUUCUCUGUUAACCUUUAGGAAAACAGUUUUUUUAUUCUUUUAUCCUGAGUUCUCUUGUCAUUUGUCAAGUUUUUGUCGUUUUCACAUCCAUUUUGGUGGGAUCUGAUCACAUGACCUUCUCCAAACCCAUCCAGAUGUGGACCGGCUGUGCCUUUGAGCAAACAUUAGACCCCUCCACAUACUCAAAAAGUCAAAAACCAAAACGCACGUCGGGGAUCUCUAAAGGAAGCUUAGAAAUUAAUAUGGGAUGGCCACAGGACCUACAGCUUUGCUGUCUCAAAGUAUAAAAUUGGACAAUUUCCCAACAUUAUGGGAAACGAAAACUUGUUUGAGCGAUAUUCACAAAAUUUCACACUCAAGGUUAAGUCUACAACCAUGACUGAAGGUUCAUUGACCUUUGACCUCGGUAAAAGCUAGUCAUGCUGAAUGUUCCUUUAACCCUUGUGCUAUCUUAGAUGACCCCACCCUUACUUUGACGUGUUCUCCCUACCAUGACAAAGGUGGAUAAAGGUGGAAAGAUUUCAUGUAAUCCAUGGACACCAGUGAAGAUCACAAAUCACUGAAGAAAAAAGGUUCAGAGCACUGUCUAGUGGGUCUAGAUGACCCAACUCCCAAUGUUAAAGUGCCUAGAAUAGCACAAGGGUUACAAAAAUCUCUUUUAGUUCAAGCUACAAAUGUAAACUCCUCCUAGGGAUUUCCAUCUAUUGACCCCUAAGAUACUUGGGGGGGGGGGGGGGGGUCUUAGAAUUUGUACAUUUUGAGCUUGCAUAUUUCUUACCAGAAUAUUGUGAAAAUGUAAUACAUGAAUCCCUACCUUUAGCUGAACAAAACCAUAUGACUGUAUUACCAAUGUGGGCGAAAACCUCUGUUGCUAUGGAAAUCCAAAUGUUUACUUUUACAGAUUCUUCUCAAAAGUACAUAGACCUGCUCGUCAUCCCCAAGCGAGCAAAAAAUCAAAUGGUUGCUAUGAGAUAGAACCAACAGAAAAGCCGCCAUCUUGAAAAAAGCGUGCGUUUUUUUUACCAAUGUGUCACUUGUAGAGUGGUUACAGAAGAUUGAAGAGCAGCAGCAGCCAGUUUGGCCGAAUCAAAGGGAGGUUUUUUAAAUUAAAUUAAAUUAAAUUUUCCUCAUAAAACACAAAUAUUGUCCAGAGGAAAAAUGGCGUUCAGUUCAAUUUUUGCUUAGAUAUACCAAAAACUACAAUUCCCAAAAGCCCCACCCCUUUACAUUUGGUAUCAUUGCAAAGCCCAGACGUCCUCUAGAUGCCAUUCAGUAGAAUGUAGUAACUGGAAGAUAUUUAUGCUCAGGCAUGUGUAAUCAGGAGGAUAUGAAUCAGAACUUCAAGAUUAUUCAUCUUUGAUUUGCUGUUUAUGGUUUAAGAUGUUUUGGGUUUGGUCUUUUUUUUGAGAAAAUAAGAGUCCUGUAUUCUA